GAAUCCGCUAAGGAGUGUGUAACAACUCACCUGCCGAAUGAACUAGCCCUGAAAAUGGAUGGCGCUUAAGCGGGUGACCGACACCAUGCCGUCUGAGCAAUUAUUGAUUUCAGAUGAGUAGGAGGGCGUGGCGGUCGUGUCGAAGGACGCAUGCAGAUGCGUCUGGAACGGCCGCUAGUGCAGAUCUUGGUGGUAGUAGCAAAUAUUCAAGCGAGAUCCUUGAAGGGCGAAGCGGGGAAGGGUUCCACGCGAACAUUGAUUGGGCGUGGGUGAGUCGUUCCUAAGCCGAGUGGCGAUUGCUAAGUAGCGGCGAAAGGGAAGCGGGUUGACAUUCCCGCACACGGAUGUGGAGGCGGUGACGCUGUAUUGGGGCGAACACGCUGGCGAUGGCGCUGGGCAGAGUUGUCUUUUCUGUUUGACCGCUUAGCGGGCGCGGUGUGGAAUCCGCUUGUCGGGAGAAACACGAGCCUACGGGCAGAGCGCCGGGGUUAUUCCGGCGUCCAGCUCGCCAUCGACGGCCCUUGAAACUUUGCCUACUGAAAUAUUUUCUGAUAUGAAAAUCCACGCCGUGGCGUACCGAUCACCGCAUCAGGUCCCCGAGGUGAACAGCCUCUGCUCAAUAUGAAAAAUGCAGGUAAGGGAAGUCGGCA
rnacentral:rRNA from 1 species